ensembl:lncRNA
GGGAAAUGCGCUCUGGUUUGGUGGGGGUGGGGAGGAGAAAGUUGGGGGAACUCCAACAAUCCCUUUUACUAUAGAGGAAGACAAUUUUAAGUGAUAUAAAGUACACUCAACCUACUUGAAGGAAAAAAAAAGUCAAUUUUUGAGCUUAAUUUUUUUAAAUUACAAAUCUCAGAAGGCUAAGCAACAUUUUGUGGUGACUUUAUUUGGCAAAUGGAGGGCAGUGCCUGCCCCUCUUAACCCUGGCGCCCUGCAGCGAAGGCUACCCAGGAUGGCUCUACAGCUCAGAACCUCGGUUUCCCUGCUGGUUUAGGUCCGAGUUUAGACUUGACGGGAAUUCAUCAGGGAACCACAUAGCGAACGCCAUGAGCUAUUCAGAGGCCUGGGAGAUGAGUAUCACCUGUACUGGGGGAUAAUAGCUGGCCACACCGCAGGAAGUUGGCAAAGAAAGUGACGACUCAAGGAUAAGCAAGUCAUGGGGAAGAAGUGGUUGGCCAACUCCAAAACACAGAGAACUGCCCCACCAAAGCCACCCGAAGGAAACAGCCUACACUGAGAAAGCAGUGAGGUCCCUGCGGGAAAACCUUAGGGCAGGAGUCACUCACCCUAAGCCGAUGGUGACCGGAAGAGCCCCCAAGAGGCCAGGCUGGUCACAGUCUGCUACAGACAACUGUCCCUGUGAAGCCAGGAGACGCUCCGGACGCCCUCCCACGUGUUCUGGGAUUUUUUGUGGGCAGAGAGGAAUCAUACCCUGGAAAACAUAACCAAUACCAAUAAGGAUGGAGAGAACACGGUGAUGACUUACUGCUGGGACCAAAUUUUAUCAAGAGAGAGGAGUCCUUAUUCUUCUCGGAAGACGACAGAGUUCAAAGUAGGGGCCUCAUGGCCAUAGUGGGGCUUCUCUGGUGGCUGAGGUAGUAAAGAAUCUGCCAGCAAUGCAGGAGACUCGGGGUUAGAUCCCUGGGUUGGGAAGAUCCCCUGGAGAAGCGAAUGGCUACCCACUCCAGCAUUCUUGCCUGGAGGAUUUCAGGGACAGAGGAGCUUGGCAGGGUACAGUCCAGGAGGUCGCAAAAAGUCAGACAGGACUGAGCGACUGACACUUUCACCUUCCUGUCCAUAGAACCUCCUCGCUGCUUUACCAGCUGGCCACAACUUCCUCCAUCCUCCUCUAGGCGGCCUUUGCGAGCGCUGCCUUUAUCACUGGAAGCACAUCGGUUCUCCAGCCAGGCUGGGCUGGGUCAACCCCGCAGCAGCCGGUGGGUAAACCAGCCAGGAAACUCUGGUGAUUUUCCUAGGUUGAGUUGAUAACCAGUGGGU